rnacentral:lncRNA from 1 species
AUUACAAGGCGGAAGUCCUGCCCGAGAGGACAGUCCCCAGGCCUUGCUAAGCAUGCGUGGUAUCAAGAGGUGCAUUGAGGCGCUCCUGCAGCCUCCUCCCGGCACGGGACUCCUCACAACCCCCAGCCUCAGCUUCCCUGACAGGGCAGGGGCUCACUCUUCUCCACUCCGGGCCAGGAACGCAGCCUGCUUGCCUUUUGUCCAAUUGGGUGCUCUUUCUUUGCGACUGAUACAAAGUGGGAACAAACUCCGCUUCCGGUGAUGCCCGGGCCCCAGGAGGCUGGGGGAGAAGUGCACGCUGCCCAGCCUUCAACCUGAACUGCCCCCAGCACUUCCGAGCCCCGACCCCUGCAGCUGUGAGGGGAGACCAGUCUAACCCCUGACACGGGGCAUCAUGGGAGCCCUAGCCAGGGCACAGAAAUGACAGGCCUGGCCCACACCACAGGAUGGCUGGUGGCCGCAGGAGCUCUGCCUCUUGGUGACCAUCCAGAGGCUCUCUGACAACCCUACUCAGAUGUUCCCUGGAGCCACAUGGCAAGAGUUCUGCCAGAAGAGCCAUGAGCCUGGCACUCUGUGGGUUCUGGUCCCUGGGGGGGCACCCGUGCCCCAGGAGCACCUCCCCAAGGCCAUGGUGCCAGCAGGAUGUUGCAGAGGCCUGAGGUCAGAGUGGCAGGUGGGCGGCCUCAGGAAUGGUGAGGAAGAAGCCGAGUGCUGACGCUGAGUGGGUCAGCAAAGGGCUGUUUGUUGACCUUGAGAGGGAGGCCCUCAUCCUGUGUGGGAGGCCAGCAGGGCCCCCUGGGACCACGUUCCCUCCUUGCUUGGAUUCAGGUAGCCCAGAGAGCUGAGGGGUUGGCCCUGGCUCCUCGGCAAGUUAGUGGCAAGCUGGAUGGAGCUGGGGACUCCCGCCCUGGGCCACGGUUUCUCUAUGACCCUAGGUCCCAAGCAGCCAGUGGUGGGGCCUGGUCUCUGAGGCCCAGCUCUGAAAAAAGUGGUGUUGUUGGGGGGCAUGGGCUGGAGGGCCUGGGCCCAGAGGACAAGGAGUUUAAGCAGGGAUAUGUUCCCUGACAGGGAAGCCCCGACCUCUGCCCUGGCCACAUCCUUCCCCUGAUCUCAUGGCUGAAAAGCCACACCAGAAUUCCUGCAAUUCAGUGAGGCAGCUCUUCAAAACCAAGCAGCUGGUGACGCACAGGGACAGAGGGUAGGCCUGCGGGGGAGAGGGCGGGAAAGGCCCUCACAGCAGGGCCCAGAGGAAGACUGACCCCAGGCUGAGCAGGAGCUGUACGCACAGGGCCCAGGGGCUGCUGGCUGCCAGGACCACCGCAUUGCAGAGGUCUCCCUUGCAGCAAGAGAUCUGGGAGUCCACAACGGCACUUAACCUGCCCUCUGCCCUGGCACCCCAGGGACUCACUGCCAAAGACGCUCACUUUCUGGGAGACACAGACCCCAUCCAGGAAGGGGCACGAGACCACGCUGCAGGAGGCCCCUUCCAAGACCGCCAAGCAUCUGUAGCAGCGCAGACCCUGAGCUGGGAGAGAGGGCAAGGGCCACCAGCAGGACCAGGGACAAGGUCUUCAUGGCCUGGAGACUGCUCAUUCCAGGGUGCUAGUGCACAGACAAACUUCAGCGAAUCAGAGCAGCCCUCGGACUCCUCACCCUCCUGGGGAUCGAAUGAGUCCUGCACAGCAGCAAAGCCAGAACAUCCGGCUCUCCAUCUCCCACCCUGUCCUCAGCACAGUCACCCAAAGGAGAACUGUCUGCCUCACGCCCCCACCCCAGUCCCCAUUCCUCCCUCCCAUCCUUCCCUGCAAUUCUCACCCAGAGCCCCAUGGCUGUACUGCACCUCCUCUCCUUAGCGCCCCCACCCAGGACCCUCCCAGGCCUGGUCCACCCCUCCUCACUUUCCUCCCUCUGGCUGAUUCUCAGCCACUUGCCCUGCAGGCUUGCCAGAGAGAGGAAGGUGGGGCAGGGAGAGGCCCUGCCCUCAGCGGCUCCUCCCCUCAGGCUCUUCCUGACUGGCCCAGAACAAGGGUGGGUUCCUGAAUUUCCAUUUCACAGGAACUUGCUACUGGAGCAAUAGGUGACUCCAGGCCAAUUUACUCAUUUUUUUUUUUCUUUUGAGCUGGAGUCUCACUGUUACCCAAGCUGGAGUACAGUGGCACAGUCUUGGCUCACUGCAACCUCUGCUUCCCAGGUUCAAGCAAUUCUCCUGCCUCAGCCUCCCGAGUAGCUGUGACUACAGGUGCCCACCACCACACCCAGUUAAUUUUUGUAUAUUAGUAGAGAUGGGGUUUCACCAUGUUGGCCAGGCUGGUCUCGAACUCCUGACCUCAAGUGAUCCUCUCACCUUGGCCUCCCAAAGUGCUACGAUUACAAGUGUCAGCUACCACGCCCAGCCCAAUUUACUCUUUAUACUAGAAUUGGCAGCAGGUGGGCCUGGUGGCUCACAUCUGUAAUCUCAUCACUUUGGGAGGCCAAGGCAGGAAGAUAGCUUGAGGCCAGGAGUGAAACCACUUUUGCAAGAUUAUAACAAUGAGAGGAGGCCAGGCACGGUGGCUCACGCCUGUGAUCCCAGCACUUUGGGAGGCUGAAGUGGGCGGAUCACAAGGUCAGGAGAUCGAGACCAUCC